ACUCAUUCAGUGUUCAUCCCUUCAUUUUAGCUCUCCAAAGAGUUGCUGUGUCAGGCUUCUGAUGUGGAUGCCUGCAGAUCAUUUUCGGGCAACUCACCAGAGGACUGUGAUCAUGAUCUUGUCCCUGACAAAAUGUCAAGUUUAGAAAAAUGUGUUUCAUGUGGAGGACCUUUUGCACCUCUGAAAUGGAGUGGUGUGAGAUGUAAAGUUUGCAACCAGUCCUGGCACAAAAAGUGUUAUGUUAAACACAAGGUGGACAUCACUGAACUUCUGCAAGUGGUCUGUACAGAACCAAGUUCAAGUGAGGUGGUAUCAUCAGAAGAGGAGUAUGUUCCUGAUUCCAUAGAUGAUUCAAACAGCUCGUGCGAUGACAGAUCAGAGCCUUUAAAAAUCAGUUACAAACAAGUACAGAAUUGUGAGGUCUCCACCAGCAAGUCUUCUUCCAAAAACAAAAGACACCACCAAGAAAGUUUUGUAGAGGAAAACAGAGAGCCCGUUUCUGAAGCUGCAGAAUCAUCAACUGAAGAUAUGAUCAGCACAAGUCAGCUUGAAGUAUCAAGAGUUACUGGCAAUAUAGGAAACGCUGAUGCCGAAGACAUAUUUGUUGAUGAUGGUGCUGAUGCUAUGGCUGA